GACUCAGUGCCUGGCGUCAGCUAGGGGACUUGCUGCGUGAUCAUGUCGGGGGAUCACGCGGGACUCUUACUCGACUGGGCCUGUCAGGGGACGUGUGCGUGCGAGCCCUGGGGCCGAGAAAUUCCGUAGCGCACUGCACCCGGAGAAGCCCUGGUUUUUCGGCAACGGACGCGGGUUCGAUUCCCGCCACCUCCACCA
rnacentral:tmRNA from 1 species